AUUUAGGAUUGAGUUUUAUACUAUUCGGUACUCCAAUUAUGAAAACAACGAUGAUGAUGCUUCUGACCUGCCCUGUUGGGCUGUUUCUUCCCCAUCCUUUUGAUGGGACCGCUGAGUUGCAGGAAAACAAGCUCAGGGCUCCCACUGAUUCUACGUUAUGGAGAAAUUUGGAUACAGAGACAGAUGCACACAGAGGGAAGAUGAUGGGAAGGGACACGGGGAGAAGAUGGUCAUCCCCAUGCCAAGGAAGGAGGCCUGGAACAAAUUCCCCUUCACAGCACUCAGAAGAAACCAGCCCUGCUGACACUUCGAGUUCAGACUUUUAGCUUCCAGAACUGUGAGACUAUACGGUUUUGUUGUUUAAGACCCCCGGUUUGUAGUACUUUGUUACAGCAGUCCUAGCCAAUGAA
rnacentral:lncRNA from 1 species